CCCCGCCNGUNCCCCUCUUCCANAACUCAUAAUAGUAUAUAACUCAUCUCNCCUAAACUAGAAGAGGCAAGUCGUAACAUGGUAAGUAUACCGGAAGGUAUGCUUGGAAU
rnacentral:rRNA from 1 species